rnacentral:rRNA from 1 species
GAUGAACGCUAGCGGCAGGCCUAAUACAUGCAAGUCGAACGGUGUCUUCGGACAUAGUGGCGCACGGGUGCGUAACACGUAUGCAACCUACCUUACAUUGGGGGAUAGCCUUUCGAAAGGGAGAUUAAUACCGCAUAAGACAGUAGCUGGGCAUCCAGCAGCUGUUAAAGAUUUAUCGAUGUAAGCUGGGCAUGCGUCCAAUUAGCUAGUUGGUGAGGUAACGGCUCACCAAGGCAAUGAUUGGUAGGGGAACUGAGAGGUCAAUCCCCCACACUGGCACUGAGAUACGGGCCAGACUCCUACGGGAGGCAGCAGUGGGGAAUAUUGGGCAAUGGACGCAAGUCUGACCCAGCCGUGCCGCGUGCAGGAUGAAGGCGUUAUGCGUUGUGAACUGCUUUUAUACAGGAAGAUACGACUCUUGCGAGAGGCAUUGACGGUACUGUAUGAACAAGCACCGGCUAACUCCGUGCCAGCAGCAGCCGCCGUAA